rnacentral:snRNA from 1 species
GUGCUCGCUUUGGCAGCAUAUAUACUAAAACUGGAAUGAUACGGAGAAGAUUGGUGCGGCCCUGCACAAGGAUGACGCACAAAUCUGUGAAGUGUUCCAUACAAAA